GAGAGAGAGAGAGAGAGAGAGAGAGAGAGAGAGAGAGAGAGAGAGAGAGAGAGAGAGAGAGAGACAACGGCUAGCUUACUUAUCCUAGUCAGUCAUUGUUAAUAAUAACAUGACCCAACCAAUUAGAAAAUAUUAUUGUAUUGCGAGAAAAAGAGGAGCGGGAAGAAAAGAAGAAGGUUUGGCUUCAUGUGACUGUGAAAGCAUGUGACCGAGUGAGUCUCUCUCUAUAAUGCCAUGUUUCAUCACGAGAUGUGUAACGUGCUUCCUUCCUCCAGCUCCUCAAUCAAUCUUUCUUGAUUUCUUUAGAUACUAUAAUUAAAUAUUCAGAUUACAAACAUUGAUCCUUUUUUUCCUGGGCUGGCUUACUUGUACUUACCGUGUGUGAGAGUUAUGAACUCAAAUGAUGUCAUCAACUUUUAUUUUGACCAA